AACGCACGAGACCUGCGGACCUGCGGAGGGAUCAUUACCGAGUUAUCCAGCUCCCAACCCCUGUGAAUUAUACCUUUAAUUGUUGCUUCGGCGGGACUUCGCGCCCGCCGGGGACCCAAACCUUCUGAAUUUUUUAAUAAGUAUCUUCUGAGUGGUUAAAAAAAUGAAUCAAAACUUUUAACAAUGGAUCUCU
rnacentral:misc_RNA from 1 species